CCUUGCGCGCAGUGAGCACCCCGACCUACGGAAUGCGCCGUGCUUUGCGGGGAUGGGGGGGUAGGGGGCUGGUCUCCACCGCCUUUGCUGCUGCUUUGUUGAUCGCUUGUGUGCUCGCUGUUCACAGAAGUUCCAGAAGUGUGAGCCCUGCACAGCGGCCCGGCCCUUGCCGUGCCUUCUGGCCCGCGAGCACCGCCUGCAGGCUCUGUAACCUGGGAACACGUCUUCAGUUAUCAUUGUUUAUAAACGUAGUAAGAGGUAGUCUUCCCAUGCCACCAAAAGCAUAGGGGGUACAGUCUGCGAGAUUCUCAUAGAUAUGGAUGCACCCCAUCAGGAGCCCAAAUGUAAAAAUGAGCUGGCAAAGAAACCAGCUGCUGUUGAGAAGCCCAAUGGAGAUGACCACAUGGCAAGGAAUUGAGGACUGCCAACAAUAGCCAGCAAGGAACUGAGACCUCUUGCCAAUAGUCAUGAAAAUCAGUUGCCAUGGCCUGUGACAGCCCUGUGGAAAGACUCACAUGAGUAUGCGUGGAAGCAGAUCUCCUAAGAUGUUUAAUCACUCUCUCUACCCUCAGUCUCAAUUCCUGUCAGUGUCAGCUACAGUUUCAGUAGUGUUUGCUCAGAUUCCCCUGAC